CUACCGAACUUAGGGGUGUUACAUAUUUCUCAAAUUUUCUUUUAUAAAUUUUGCAUACCUUUUAGAUUAGAUAUUAGUAUAGCUAUUUUAAUACUAAUAUUACUAUUUUUAUCGAUAUUUUGAUGUUGGAAAUAUAUAAUUAUUUUUAAAUAUACUAAUUUGAAUGUAAGAACCAAAAUCAGAACCAAAUUUGGUACUGGAAUCGGAACCGAAUUUAGAAUCGAAAAUGUGGCUGAACCAAAAUCAAAUGUACUAAGAAUUGAACCGGAACUGAGCUAAAAAACAAAAGAACCAAACUUUGGUUCCAGUUUUGUUUCUUGCCAGAAACUGAAUCAAAACCACACACCCUUAAUUUGAAUUAAUUAGAUACAUGAUUGAAUUUGUAAGUCUGUAACAAGUUUUGUAAAUAAGCAGAGAAAUAUAUAAGCUAUAAAUUUUCUCCUAUUUAGUUAUUAUUUAUGAUUGAAUCAUUUAUGGAUUGUUAUUUAUUUGUUUUGUUAUAUAGGAAAUUUUAUUUAAAAAUAAGGCAUUGUUUAUUUCGCGAAAAAUACUUAUAUAUGGAUAAUAUUUUUCAUAGAAAAUGUUUUCUAAAAGAAUAUAUUCCAUGAAAAUAUUUUUCGUUAUUUGGUUGCAAUAUUAAACUAAUGAUAUGUUAUGUGUUUAUGUUACG
rnacentral:misc_RNA from 1 species